GUGCUCACUUCGGCCGCACACACACUAAAACUGGAACUACACAGAGAAGACAGCAGGGCCCCUGCACAAGGACGACGCGCAAAACGCGAAGCGUUCCGUAUGUCU